AGUGAACGCUGGCGGUAGGCCUAGCACAUGCAAGUCGAACGGCAGCACAGUAAGAGCUUGCUCUUACGGGUGGCGAGUGGCGGACGGGUGAGGAAUACAUCGGAAUCUACUUUUUCGUGGGGGAUAACGUAGGGAAACUUACGCUAAUACCGCAUACGACCUACGGGUGAAAGCAGGGGAUCUUCGGACCUUGCGCGAUUGAAUGAGCCGAUGUCGGAUUAGCUAGUUGGCGGGGUAAAGGCCCACCAAGGCGACGAUCCGUAGCUGGUCUGAGAGGAUGAUCAGACACACUGGAACUGAGACACGGUCCAGACUCCUACGGGAGGCAGCAGUGGGGAAUAUUGGACAAUGGGCGCAAGCCUGAUCCAGCCAUACCGCGUGGGUGAAGAAGGCCUUCGGGUUGUAAAGCCCUUUUGUUGGGAAAGAAAAGCAGCAGGUUAAUACCCCGCUGUUCUGACGGUACCCAAAGAAUAAGCACCGGCUAACUUCGUG
rnacentral:rRNA from 1 species